AUUGAACGCUGGCGGAAUGCUUUACACAUGCAAGUCGAACGGUAGAGGGGCAACCCUUGAGAGUGGCGAACGGGUGAGUAAUGUAUCGGAACACGCCCAGUCGUGGGGGAUAACGUAGCGAAAGUUACGCUAAUACCGCAUACGAUCCAUGGAUGAAAGCGGGGGAUCGCAAGACCUCGCGCGAUUGGAGUGGCCGAUAUCAGAUUAGGUAGUUGGUGGGGUAAAGGCCUACCAAGCCGACGAUCUGUAGCUGGUCUGAGAGGACGACCAGCCACACUGGGACUGAGACACGGCCCAGACUCCUACGGGAGGCAGCAGUGGGGAAUUUUGGACAAUGGGCGAAAGCCUGAUCCAGCCAUUCCGCGUGCAGGAAGAAGGCCUUCGGGUUGUAAACUGCUUUUGUACGGAACGAAACGCGCUGUGCUAAUACUACGGCGUAAUGACGGUACCGUAAGAAUAAGCACCGGCUAACUACGUGCCAGCAGCCGCAGUAACAC
rnacentral:rRNA from 1 species